AAUGAACGCUGGCGGCAUGCCUAACACAUGCAAGUCGAACGAGACCUUCGGGUCUAGUGGCGCACGGGUGCGUAACGCGUGGGAAUCUGCCCUUGGGUUCGGAAUAACUCGCCGAAAGGCGUGCUAAUACCGGAUGAUGACGUAAGUCCAAAGAUUUAUCGCCCAAGGAUGAGCCCGCGUAGGAUUAGCUAGUUGGUGGGGUAAAGGCCCACCAAGGCGGCGAUCCUUAGCUGGUCUGAGAGGAUGAUCAGCCACACUGGGACUGAGACACGGCCCAGACUCCUACGGGAGGCAGCAGUGGGGAAUAUUGGACAAUGGGCGAAAGCCUGAUCCAGCAAUGCCGCGUGAGUGAUGAAGGCCUUAGGGUUGUAAAGCUCUUUUACCCGGGAUGAUAAUGACAGUACCGGGAGAAUAAGCCCCGGCUAACUCCGUGCCAGCCGCCGCCGUAA
rnacentral:rRNA from 1 species